rnacentral:antisense_RNA from 1 species
CACUCCCCCUCCGGAGAAUUCCCCGAGAAGGCGGGCGCCGGCUUCGGCCCCGGGAUAGACCUGCGGCGGCGGCGGGAACGGCCACGCACAGGCACCCACAGCCACUUAGGAAGUUGGAGUCCUGGAGAGGAGAACACAGAACGUGGACAACUAGCUGUCAAAUUGCAGUAAAAGUUGGUUCAGGAAAAGUGGAAGCUACCCAGAUGUCUACCAAUUGAGAUGAACCAUCCAAUCUCCUGCCUCGAGUAUUGAAGCCUGGCUACUGUGACUGUGGGGAAGGGAUUAAUGGUCUCAGCAUUCAAUAAGAGUCCUGAAGCUCAGAUGACACAGCUGAUAACAGGGAAGCCAGGACAGAAUCUCAUUGUUUUGAACACCAAAACCCGUUCCCUUGACAACUUGGCUAUACUACACUAUUCGAAUGUUGCAGAUACUGUGGUCACAUUUCAAAGGCCAGAUCUUUCCCAGGGCUUAAGCUGUUCCUUGGAUACUUUUGCUGAUGGUUUACACAUCUUCUUCCCACAUUAUAUUGUAACUUUCUU